rnacentral:lncRNA from 1 species
GGUGCUAGAUGAUAAAUGUAUAUAUAUAUAUAUACAUACAUAUUGCAUGCUUCUUGAAAGAGUAAUGUAUUGGGCUUAGUGCUUAUAUCUAGCAUGCUUGAGGUUUAUAUAUAUGUGAUGUGAAACCCUAUAAUGAGAUGAUAGGUGUGGAGGAGAACUUAGUAAUGUAUUGGCUAUUGCAUUGGAAACUUUAAACUGUCAUUGAUCAAGUUGCAUAUUAUGAUGUUGCAUAUAGGGUGUUUAGAAACUUGUAUCUAUAUUUGCAUGCUAGUGUUAAUGUAGCUUGGUAGAUAUAACACUUGAAUCUAGUAUGCAUGAAGUUAGUAUGUGCACCUUAACCCUAUAUGAGAUGAUAUGUGACGGAUUGGAACCUAGGCAAAUGAUAACCUAGUGUUUGUGUUGUGUGAACGAAGAACCUAGUAAAGUGUGAACUAGAGUCUUGGAAACUUGUAAAGGACGAGUGGCAUCUAGUUAAUGUUAACCUAUGACGAGUGGCAUCUAGUUGAUAGCACAUAUGAGAACCUUAGUGUAGUUGAAACACUAGAAGGUUGAGUAUUAGACUGGCAUUGAGUUGAUGAGUUGUUAACCCUAGAUGAUAGGGUGUUCCCAGUUGAUGACACUAUCCUUAGUUGAUAGGAUGUUCCCAGUUCAUGAGAUUGGAUCGAGCUCACAUAGCCUGUCUGCACCUGUGGAGGUCGCUCCUCACAGGUAGUGCACUCCGGAGUUUGGCACGCGAGGGGGCCAGUGUAGUUGCCCUUGGACCAGUGUAGUGUCCGCAGGCGGUCUCGGGGUAGGUGAAUAGCUAGCCACCUCCCUAGGAGAUUUACAGACGUGAGACUGUGCGCGAACCUCGAGUUCGCCGAGAGAUUGGGUAACCUGAUGAGUUACAUUGUGUAUAAUAGCCUGGCACUUAGCCUUAGCCUUAUUGAUGAACCUAGUAGUAUGAUAAUUAGCCUCCAGUAUGAGUUGCAUCGACAUUGAGUAUAGUCGCUUGGUAGUCAGAGUAGUGGAUUUGCCUACAUACAGUGAGUGGACAUACUAUUCUUUCACCUAUGAGAUUUGAGCGAG